rnacentral:lncRNA from 1 species
GAUAUGCUAUUACUAGGACGAUAGCAAUAUCAAGUAUAGAUCGUUGUGUACCAUAUGAGUUAGUUAUCCUCUUAAUCAAGGAGUAUAGAAAUACUGUUAUGACAUGCAGAUGAAAUAUAGGAGUACAUUCACUUCGAACAUGAUCAUGUACCGAGUACUCUACUAUCAAGAGUAGCUUGUGAAGGGUAUGGAUAUAAGUGUCCCUCCGAUCUAAGACCACCAU